CAACUCUCACGCGACUCUUGUUCUCAUUUGUCUGGGGCAUGCGGGUUAAAAAAACCUCUCACGCAAACUCUCGCUUGCAAACUCUAAUCAACUCUCAUCCUCGUCAACUUCGUACUCAGGCAUGCCCGCCCGAUUUUUUAAUUAAAAAAUCAGGCGGGCAGGCUCUGGGUACGAGGUUCGGAAAGUUCAGAAAUAAAUUCACACAAGUACAUUUUUACCCGAUAAUGAAUCUGUAUUUUUACCCAACACAUAUAUAAUUUAUUAAUUUAAUGAGAACACAACAUUCAAAUAUGAAGUUCGGAACUAGAAAUCUAAGAUAAAAUAAUUUAAAUAAAUUACAAAUUAAUUCAUGCGAACAACUUUCAGAUCAAGUUCAAUUAAAUAAAAUUCUUAGACUUUAUGUUUCUACAACGUUAUUCGUGAAUUUCAAGUGAUGCACCGAUAUUGAGUCAGCCCUAAAUUAGUAAUAUUCACUAGUAUUUAUGAAAGUGAAAUCAACUCGAUAGUUGACCAAAAAAUAUGGAGUUUUGAUAUUAUAUUCAACGGAGUGACGUCAUAACGUUGAUAUGGUUAAUACUAAACGCUAUGACGUCACGCCAAUGACUGCCGAAG
rnacentral:lncRNA from 1 species